rnacentral:rRNA from 1 species
CCUCCUUUCUGCAGCAGUCGGGAAUAUUGCUCAAUGGAGGAAACUCUGACGCAGUGACGCCGCGUGCAGGAAGAAGGUUUUCGGAUUGUAAACUGCCUUAGACAGGGAAGAAACAAGACAGUACCUUUAAAAUAAGCUCCUGCUAACUACGUGCCAGCAGCCUCGGUAAUACGUAGGGAGCAAGCUUUAUCCGGAUUUAUUGGGGGUAAAGGGUGUGUAUACGGGAAGUCAAGUUGGUUGUGAAAUCCCUCGGCUUAACUGAGGAACUGCAACCAAAACUAACUUUCUUGAGUGAUGGAGAGGAAAGUGGAAUUCCUGGUGUAGCGGUGAAAUGCGUAGAUAGUAGGAGGAACACCAGUGGCGAAGGCGACUUUCUGGACAGUAACUGACGUUGAGGCACGAAAGUGUGGGGAGCAAACAGGAUUAGAUACCCGAGUAGUC